AUGGAAUGUAUGGACAUAUGCUAUCAGUGGGACCCAGCCACGCUGACCCCUACCCCGGGCACAUGGAUUUUGGGGUGGGUGGGCAACUCACGGACCUGGACAACUCAACCCGUCCUUUCUCUCUCCGCAGGGCUGCGGGCGGCCGUGCAACUGGUCGAGUCCGGAGGUGGUCUCCAGACACCCGGGGGGUCCCUGCGCCUCCUCUGCAAGGGCUCCGGCUUCACCUUCAGCAGCUACGGCACGGACUGGGUGCGACAGGCGCCAGGCAAGGGGCUCGAAUGGGGCGCGACUAUUUACAGCGAUGGUAGUAGCACAGGUUACGCGCCGUCGGUCAAAGGACGCUUCACCAUCUCGAGGGACAACUCCCAGAGCACGGUCACGCUGCAGAUGAACAGCCUCAGGGCCGACGACACGGCCACCUACUACUGCGCGAAACAAGAUGAUGGUGACACUGACCCCACCACCAAACCCCAACAUCCCAGCGCUGUGUCCCGAAAUCCCGGCAUCUUCCUCAAACUCCCAUCCAGUUCUUGGUCCCUUGUGCCCCACCUGGACCCCUGCACCCAACCCAGACCCUCGCCCUGA